rnacentral:rRNA from 1 species
GGUGGAGCAUGUGGUUUAAUUCGAAGCAACGCGCAGAACCUUACCAGCUCUUGACAUGGAUACAGAGAGAGACAGAGAUGACUCUCGCGGUUCGGCCGGGUAUCACACAGGUGCUGCAUGGCUGUCGUCAGCUCGUGUCGUGAGAUGUUGGGUUAAGUCCCGCAACGAGCGCAACCCUCGUCCUUAGUUGCCAACAGGUUAGGCUGGGAACUCUAAGGAUACUGCCGGUGAUAAGCCGGAGGAAGGCGAGGAUGACGUCAAGUCCUCAUGGCCCUUAUGGGCUGGGCUACACACGUGCUACAAUGGCGGUGACAGUGGGAUGCAAUAGGGUGACCUGGAGCAAAUCCCAAAAAGCCGUCUCAGUUCGGAUUGUUCUCUGCAACUCGGGAACAUGAAGUUGGAAUCGCUAGUAAUCGCGGAUCAGCAUGCCGCGGUGAAUACGUUCACGGGCCUUGUACAACACCGCCCGUCA